CACACACACACGCACGCACACACAAGCACUCAUGUUCUAGAGAGAGAGGUCUGAGUCCGAAGUUGCUGCUGCUGGGAGCUUGAGCUGAGAUGGACUGGUCUUCAUGGGCGCCCAAGGCGCUGGGUGCAGCUUUCCCCGAGACCCCCAGAUGGAAAGGAGGGAAGGAGGAACCCCACACACUCGCCUUUUGCGAGAAGAUCGGCGCGCACCCCAGAGUGCCCCAAGCCUUUGGAAUCUGCCUGCUGAGCGGAGCGCGCGAGCGUGGUGGACAGGUCCCGAACUUGGCCAGCGGGCUUUCUUGGCAACUUGCUUUGCGCAGUUCUCCAUGGAACCCUGGACCCACUGUGCUCCCGGCGCCUUGCCUUUUUUUUUCUUUUUCUUUCUCUCACUGUCUCUUUUUAAAUUUAUGAACUCGAAAUGAAGCGGAAAGCAGAUAUGCGCGUCAGCAUACUUUGGCGGGGAUCAUUUUACUUCCUAUCAUCAACAAAAAUAGCCAGAAUUACAUUGAAACUCAUGCAAUAACUACAGAUGAUCAUUUUAUUCAUCUUUGGAUGUGUUCGUUUUUUCCAUUUUUUGGUGAAUUUCUGGACACUGAUGAUAAACCAUGACAGAAUACUUUUAUGUACUAUGCCUCCUCCUAAACAUUUUUCAGACACCUCAUUAUGUAACCUGCAGCUCAUAAUGAAUGCAUAACAUGUGUAUCAUAUUAAUAGAGUUCUUCUAAAGAGAUCUCCUACGUUUUUAUUUUCAAGUAGUUCUUCAUGUGGGGGAUGGUCAGUGGGAGAUGGCACUUCAUAAGAUCUGCUGUGGUCACCCCAGUCAUCAUCCGACGUGUUGCACCAGUUUGUGGCACUUCAUAAGUUCUGCGGUGGUCACCCCAGUCAUCAUCCGACGUGUUGCACCAGUGUGUGUUGCUGUUUGAGCCGUGCUGCCGACCCCUUCCAGGGCAUCUGCCAUGGGCACCUCCUCCAGCCCGUGCACUAAGACUCAAGAGAGUCGAAGAACCAGGGAAUCGUUGUAAUAACAAGCAUUCUGAAUUGCAUCAUACUGUGUACUAGCAGGAGUAUUCGGGAACUUCUGUUGCUGGAAACACGGGAGAGCAUUCUGCCUGAAGGCCGCACUGCCAUUUCUCCUUUGAGGUAGAACAUCACCUUGGUGCAGAGCACUCCAUGAGGUCUCCUCCCAGAGCCUUCCCGGUGGGAGCUUACAGGAAAUAUGGGAGAUAGAGGAAAAGACAAAAUGACUCCAUGAGGAAAUACCCAGACACGCCCAGAAGAUGAAAUGUGGUCUUCAUCAAUGACUGCACGUCAUUCAUAAAGAAGCUGUGGUAGAUUAGGAGCAACCUAAGGAAGGCAACAAGGUACAAUGAAUGGGCCUUGACUGGAUCCUGAAUGGUUAAGCCAGCUAAAGAAAAUGUUUGGAGCAACCGAGUAAAUUUGAACAUGGACUAGAUAUUAUAUAAGAUGAAGAUUCAUUGAAAUGGAAACCUAGAGCUUAUUAACUGAAAAAAAAUGGUUAUAAAAUUAUACGUAAAAAGUCAUUUCAUUUUAGGUAUGCAAGUGUAUAUAUAGAUAGAAAAUAUCUGAAUUAUAUUCAAUAAUGUGUUUCCUGCACUAAUUUCUGGAUGGUAGAGACAUGUAUUUUAAUUAUU
rnacentral:lncRNA from 1 species